CAAACAAGCUCACCCCUGGGGCACCUCCUGAUGCCCCGGAGACAGGGCUUCUCAGACUGCAGGACAGACUCCUGGGACUCUCCUGGUGAUCUUUUUCGAAUGCAGAUUGAUGCCACUACUUCCUUGAGAGAGAGAGAGACAGACAGCGAGAGGGAGAGAGAGAAGACAGUAAUGUUCAAUAUAUAUAUGGUCAUACCCGGAGCCCUAAACAAGACUUUUGAAAAGAAAGCCAGCAGUCCACCCAGAUAAUAUCAAGAAGCUGAAACCCACCAAAUCACUGCAUCUGGACAAUGAGAUGCCAGACUCCUCACAGUCAUGGUCAUAAUUGCUUAACUGACCACUUGCUUCCUGUUGACCAACUCCUCUUCCUUACCGCUCCCUAAUUCCUGUUUUCCCACACAAGGUUACAUUUCUUCCCUGCUACAUAAACCCCUAAUUUCAGUCAGUCAGGAAGAUGGAUUUGAGGCUGAUCUCCCAUCUCCUCAGCUGCAGCACCCAAUAAAGCCUUUGUCCUUAGCAACACUUGCUGUCUCAGUGAUUGGCUUUCUGUGCAGCAAGCUGCAGAAUCUAGAGUGAACCGCUGGUGUUUUUGGUAACAAAGAAAACUCCUGCCUUCAAAUUCCCUGGGGAUCUCAUUGGAAAGAUAGGAAAAUAGGCGCUUUUCAGAAUAUUGUGGAACAAUAAUGCAAUCACAGGGUAUAAAGGGUCCUUAUAGAAAUUGAAAGUAACUCCAGACUGAGGGGUUAAGGACAGACAAGCUGGAGAAGAAGCUGUUGUCUGCUCUGAGAUUCAGCAUAAGAAUCCCACCACUUGUUAAAUCAUAAUAACCAGUAUCUCUUACCUGAAUUUGGCAGUUGCUUUACUCCACCAUUUUCUAAAAUACCUGACCCAUUUUUCACCUACAUGACAUUUGAUGCUUAAAAGGAUUACCUUGAAUGGACAAAUACAGCCCCUUAAGAGUGACCACUUUGCAUCUGCCCUGCAGUGACCUGCCUUCAUCUCCAGGGAAGGAGUUGAGAUUCAGUUAGCAGCAAUAAAAAUCUCUAGAUGCUCUUUUUCUUUGGAUACACUACUUAGCAUAUCUGAACCUCAGCCUACCAAAUGGACCUUCAGUAGUACCCAGCCCAUUAUAAAUAUUUUUUUUAAAUUUAAUAUAGUAUAAAGAUGAGGGAAGGUUCUGAAGAAAAAUAUUUUUAAAAAAAAUAGUCAAAUAACGAUAUUUCAUACAUAAAGGUGAUUUCUCCAUAUUCAGUGUAAAAUUAUCAUUUAUAAACUUUAUUUGUUAAUAUUAAUUCAGCUAAAAUCUGUGUAUUUUUCUUGUAUUCAUUUAUUUUAAGUUAGUAUGUUUUUCUAAUGAUCUCUUCUUUUUUUAUCUGGGAUACAUGUGUGUAUGUGUGUGUGUUAUGUGUAAAUUACAUGAAUGUAUACAACAUAUGCAUCUCAUAAAUAUAAUAUCAUUUAAAAUUAUUAAUGCUAAUUGAAUGCCUACUCUGUGUCAAGAUCUAUUCUAAAAACAUUUAUAUGGUAACUUAUUGAAACUUCUAGUAAUUCAUCCAUCUUAGUUUACAGAUCAAGUCUUGGGGAGGUUAAAAUAUUUUGCUAAAGAUUGAACAUUGUAAUAAAUAGCAAACGAGUUAUUUCUCCAUCCUUCAAUUUCUUAUAACUUUGGAAAACCAUUAUUUAUAUUUUUAUCUACAUAUAAAUUGAGGACUAAGCUCUGAUUUUUUAUCUUGCCCAAAUUCCUACCUAAGGGGUCUAGGGAGUCAUGUCAUAUAAACCACAAAUUCUCAUCAGAUGGGUUUCAUUUGACCCUAUAUAUUGUGACUUACUUUCCAAUCUGACUCUGGCAUGACAUUAUGAAACAAGGAAAAAAAUACUUAACCCCAAAAUAUAUUCCCUUGCCAUAUCUUGAAAUUGCCCUGCAAAGUCUCUUGUGGGAAAAAUCCACAUUCUAUAGAGAAUCCCCUUCUCCCUUUGUUUUCCUUCCUUUCUUUCCAGAUCCAGGAGAUAAUCAACUAAGAGCCAGGCACCCGUUUAAGUCUGAUAAGAAACAAUUUACAACCUGCUCUCUCUGAGGUCUGCUGAGAGCUCCCUCUGCACAAUAAAACUUGGUCUCCACAAUCCUUUAUCUUCACCCUGAGCAUUCCUUUCUAUGGAUCCCAGAUCUUUAGACAAACUCAAUCAAUGUCAACCAGAAAAUGUUUAAAUUUACCUAUAGCCUAGAAGCCGCCUCUUUGAGUUGUCUCGCCUUUCUGAACCAAACUAAUGUAUUUCUUAAAUGUAUUUGAUUGAUGUCUCAUGCCUUGCUAAAAUACAUAAGAACAAGCUGUACCCCAGCCACCUUGGGUGCAUGUUCUCAGGACCUCCUGAGGGCUGUGUCACGGGCCAUGGUCACUCAUAUUUGGCUCAGAAUAAAUCUCUG